UGAGUAAUGCCUAGGAAUCUGCCUGAUAGUGGGGGACAGCGUUUCGAAAGGAACGCUAAUACCGCAUACGUCCUACGGGAGAAAGCAGGGGACCUUCGGGCCUUGCGCUAUCAGAUGAGCCUAGGUCGGAUUAGCUAGAUUGGUGGGGUAAUGGCUCACCAAGGCGACGAUCCGUAACUGGUCUGAGAGGAUGAUCAGUCACACUGGAACUGAGACACGGUCCAGACUCCUACAGGAGGCAGCAGUGGGGAAUAUUGGACAAUGGGCGAAAGCCUGAUCCAGCCAUGCCGCGUGUGUGAAGAAGGUCUUCGGAUUGUAAAGCACUUUAAGUUGGGAGGAAGGGCAGUAAGCGAAUACCUUGCUGUUUUGACGUUACCGACAGAAUAAGCACCGGCUAACUCUGUGCCAGCAGCCGC
rnacentral:rRNA from 1 species